rnacentral:rRNA from 1 species
AACGAACGCUGGCGGCAUGCCUAACACAUGCAAGUCGAACGAUUGCCUUCGGGUGAUAGUGGCGCACGGGUGCGUAACGCGUGGGAAUCUGCCCUUAGGUUCGGAAUAACAGCUGGAAACGGCUGCUAAUACCGGAUGAUAUCGCGAGAUCAAAGAUUUAUCGCCUGAGGAUGAGCCCGCGUUGGAUUAGGUAGUUGGUGGGGUAAAGGCCUACCAAGCCGACGAUCCAUAGCUGGUCUGAGAGGAUGAUCAGCCACACUGGGACUGAGACAUGGCCCAGACUCCUACGGGAGGCAGCAGUGGGGAAUAUUGGACAAUGGGCGCAAGCCUGAUCCAGCAAUGCCGCGUGAGUGAUGAAGGCCCUAGGGUUGUAAAGCUCUUUUACCCGGGAAGAUAAUGACUGUACCGGGAGAAUAAGCCCCGGCUAACUCCGUG